GUGCUCGCUUCAGCAGCACAUACGCUAAAACUGGAAUGAUAAAAAGAAGAUUAGCAUGGCCCCUGCAAAAGGAUGACACACAAAUUUGUGAAGUGUUCCAUAUUUUU
ensembl:snRNA U6 U6 spliceosomal RNA